CAUGUACUCCCUCCGAUCCAUAUUACUUGUCGUUGAAACGGAUGUAUCUAGACUUAUUUUAGUGUUAGAUACAUCUGUUUGAGCUACAACUAAUUUGGAUCGGAGGUAGUACAUU
rnacentral:pre_miRNA from 1 species